rnacentral:rRNA from 1 species
UGGGAAUUUUGGACAAUGGGGGCAACCCGUGAUCCAGCCCUCCGCGUGUGCGAUGAAGGCCUUCGGGUUGUAAAGCACUUUUGGCAGGGAAGAAACGGCGCGGGCUAAUAACCUGUGCUAAUGACGGUACCUGCAGAAUAAGCACCGGCUAACUACGUGCCAGCAGCCGCGGUAAUACGUAGGGUGCAAGCGUUAAUCGGAAUUACUGGGCGUAAAGCGUGCGCAGGCGGUUCGGAAAGAAAGGUGUGAAAUCCCAGGGCUUAACCUUGGAACUGCACUUUUUAACUACCGGGCUAGAGUACGUCAGAGGGGGGUAGAAUUCCACGUGUAGCAGUGAAAUGCGUAGAGAUGUGGAGGAAUACCGAUGGCGAAGGCAGCCCCCUGGGAUGAUACUGACGCUCAUGCACGAAAGCGUGGGGAGCAAACAGGAUUAGAUACCCUGGUAGUCCACGCCCUAAACGAUGUCAACUAGCUGUUGGGGUUUAUUAACCUUAGUAGCGCAGCCAACGCGUGAAGUUGACCGCCUGGGGGAGUACGGUCGCAAGAUUAAAACUCAAAGGAAUUGACGGGGGUCAUAGCUG